GUCUCGUUUACUUUCACUUUCGAUUUACCACUUCCGGGUACAUCGGCAGACUUAUUUACCGUUACGCAUAUAGGUAACCCGAAGAACUCGAGGGAUAUAGAAGUUAAAUUUGUUUCGGUCCUCUUCAGAUUUGAAGGAAUGGAUAGCGCGGGUCAAAAAAUGCAGAUGUAUAGACAAGGAGGUAUAUGACAAGUAUAUAGAAUAUACAGUUGUUCAAUAUGGACCAUUAAUCAACUGAUUGCACUGCCUAUGAUCCUGAAAUAUCUAUACAUCAAAGAUAAAAAGGGAAAAGAUGAAGGAGGAUUUGUCCAUGAAGACCUUUAUUGCAACUACCAUCUUCCAGUUCCUUAAUUUGAGAAUGAUAUCAGAGAACACACAGUUACAGUGAAAUAUUAGUUUAAUAUAAGCCACUGAAAAUAGUCAAAUGUACUUUCCUGAAGAAGAUGAAUGACAUCCAGCACAAAAAUCUUAAUGUAUAAAGAGUAUGAUUUUAUGGUGUUUGACACUAUGAUCUUGUUAACAUGUUAAUGUCACAAUGAUAGAAACAGAGUAAAAUAUCCACAUUUCAUUGCAGUUUUAAGUAUUAAAACUAGAUACUCUAUAUAUAUACCAAAGCUGAUAACACACCAGAGAUAAGGUGUUUUCAUAGAAUCACAGUAGAGUCAUAUGACAUUAUGGACAUUAAAUGACUAUGAAGUAAAGAUUAGCAAAAAUAUUAUAUAUCAUCUACUACUAAUAUUGUGAGGUAAUCAUUGAUAAGUUCACAAAUUUGCAAUCAAAGCUUUGAUAUCAAGCUGAACAUUUUUCAAUUAGAAUAUGAUUUAUAACUCUAUGAUUAUUUGUUCAUGUUAAUUUCAAAGUCUUUACAUUUGUAAAAGGAAAUACUCUUAUUCUUGUAUCAGUAGACACUCACAGUGAAAAGUUACAUUGUCCAAAUAACUAAUAAUAAUUCCAAGUGCUUUCCUGAAGUUUUUCUUCCACUGG